AGAGUUUGAUCAUGGCUCAGGAUAAACGCUGGCGGCGCACAUAAGACAUGCAAGUCGAACGGACUUAACUCGAAGUUUACUUUGAGAGCGGUUAGUGGCGGACUGGUGAGUAACGCGUGAGUAACCUGCCCUGGAGUGGGGGACAACAGUUGGAAACGACUGCUAAUACCGCAUAAUGUGUCGAGGAGGCAUCUCCUUGACACCAAAGAUUUAUCGCUGAAAGAUGGGCUCGCGUCUGAUUAGCUAGUUGGUGGGGUAACGGCCUACCAAGGCGACGAUCAGUAGCCGG
rnacentral:rRNA from 1 species